UGUGACUGCGUACCUUUUGUAUAAUGGGUCAGCGACUUAUAUUCUGUAGCAAGGUUAACCGAAUAGGGGAGCCGGAGGGAAACCGAGUCUUAAUUGGGCGUUAAGUUGCAGGGUAUAGACCCGAAACCCGGUGAUCUAGCCAUGGGCAGGUUGAAGGUUGGGUAACACUAACUGGAGGACCGAACCGACUAAUGUUGAAAAAUUAGCGGAUGACCUGUGGCUGGGGGUGAAAGGCCAAUCAAACCGGGAGAUAGCUGGUUCUCCCCGAAAGCUAUUUAGGUAGCGCCUCGUGAAUUCAUCUCCGGGGGUAGAGCACUGUUUCGGCUAGGGGGCCAUCCCGGCUUACCAACCCGAUGCAAACUGCGAAUACCGGAGAAUGUUAUCACGGGAGACACACGGCGGGUGCUAACGUCCGUCGUGAAGAGGGAAACAACCCAGACCGCCAGCUAAGGUCCCAAAGUCAUGGUUAAGUGGGAAACGAUGUGGGAAGGCCCAGACAGCCAGGAUGUUGGCUUAGAAGCAGCCAUCAUUUAAAGAAAGCGUAAUAGCUCACUGGUCGAGUCGGCCUGCGCGGAAGAUGUAACGGGGCUAAACCAUGCACCGAAGCUGCGGCAGCGACACUAUGUGUUGUUGGGUAGGGGAGCGUUCUGUAAGCCUGCGAAGGUGGCCUGUGAGGGUUGCUGGAGGUAUCAGAAGUGCGAAUGCUGACAUAAGUAACGAUAAAGCGGGUGAAAAGCCCGCUCGCCGGAAGACCAAGGGUUCCUGUCCAACGUUAAUCGGGGCAGGGUGAGUCGACCCCUAAGGCGAGGCCGAAAGGCGUAGUCGAUGGGAAACGGGUUAAUAUUCCCGUACUUGGUGUUACUGCGAAGGGGGGACGGAGAAGGCUAUGUUGGCCGGGCGACGGUUGUCCCGGUUUAAGCGUGUAGGUGUGUGUUCCAGGUAAAUCCGGUU
rnacentral:rRNA from 1 species